rnacentral:rRNA from 1 species
ACCCGCUGAAUUUAAGCAUAUCAAUAAGCGGAGGAAAAGAAACCAACAGGGAUUGCCUUAGUAACGGCGAGUGAAGCGGUAAAAGCUCAAAUUUGAAAUCGGCCACCAGGUCGAGUUGUAAUUUGUAGAUUGUAUCUUGAGAGCGGAUUAAAGUCUGUUGGAACACAGCGCCUUAGAGGGUGACAGCCCCGUAAAAUCUAUUCUCAUUGUAAGAUACUUUCGAAGAGUCGAGUUGUUUGGGAAUGCAGCUCUAAGCGGGAGGUAAAUUCCUUCUAAAGCUAAAUAUUGACGAGAGACCGAUAGCGAACAAGUACUGUGAAGGAAAGAUGAAAAGCACUUUGAAAAGAGAGUGAAAAAGUACGUGAAAUUGUUAAAAGGGAAGGGUAUUGAAUCAGACUUGGUGCUGUUGUUCAACUGUGUUUCGGCACAGUGUACUCAGCAGUACUAGGCCAAGGUGGGGUGUUUGGGAGUGAAAAAGAAGUUGGAACGUAACUCUUCGGAGUGUUAUAGCCUACUUUCAUAGCUCCUCAGGCGCCUCAGGACUGCGCUUCGGCAAGGACCUUGGCAUAAUGAUUCUAUACCGCCCGUCUUGAAACACGGACCAAGGAG